rnacentral:rRNA from 1 species
GAUGAACGCUGGCGGCGUGCCUAAUACAUGCAAGUCGAGCGAACAGACGAGAAGCUUGCUUCUCUGAUGUUAGCGGCGGACGGGUGAGUAACACGUGGAUAACCUACCUAUAAGACUGGGAUAACUUCGGGAAACCGUAGCUAAUACCGGAUAAUAUUUUGAACCGCAUGGUUCAAAAGUGAAAGACGGUCUUGCUGUCACUUAUAGAUGGAUCCGCGCUGCAUUAGCUAGUUGGUAAGGUAACGGCUUACCAAGGCAACGAUGCAUAGCCGACCUGAGAGGGUGAUCGGCCACACUGGAACUGAGACACGGUCCAGACUCCUACGGGAGGCAGCAGUAGGGAAUCUUCCGCAAUGGGCGAAAGCCUGACGGAGCAACGCCGCGUGAGUGAUGAAGGUCUUCGGAUCGUAAAACUCUGUUAUUAGGGAAGAACAUAUGUGUAAGUAACUGUGCACAUCUUGACGGUACCUAAUCAGAAAGCCACGGCUAACUACGU